rnacentral:rRNA from 1 species
AAAUCUUACCGGGUCCGGACACACUGAGGAUUGACAGGCAAUAUAUGUGACUCUUCGGAGUUUGCAUUGUUAAAUAUGCUAGUCCUUUCAUGAUUAUGUGAUAGGUGGUGCAUGGCCGUUCUUAGUUCGUGGAGUGAUCUGUCUGCUUAAUUGCGUUUCAAAUUACUUAUAAGGUAGCAAUACGCGAUGAAACUUUCAAUAGUCCUCACGGAUUCACUUGAGUUGACUCGCUUCGCUAUCCUUUCGAAUGCAACGAACGUGACCGCAACCUCUUGUUGCCUUCGUUUAACAUCCUGCAGCUCGCUGUGGGUACUGAGGGCUUCACUCGGUGAC